rnacentral:tRNA from 1 species
ACUACUGAUUUCCAAUCAUUAAGUUCUGGGUAACGCCAGAGAAAAAUA